UCCUACGGGAGGCAGCAGUGGGGAAUAUUGCACAAUGGGCGCAAGCCUGAUGCAGCCAUGCCGCGUGUAUGAAGAAGGCCUUCGGGUUGUAAAGUACUUUCAGCGGGGAGGAAGGGAGUAAAGUUAAUACCUUUACUCAUUGACGGACUUACAGAAGAGAAC
rnacentral:rRNA from 1 species